ACAUCCAGAGAAUUUAGCAGAGAUGCUUUUAGUGCCUUCGGGAACUCUGAGACAGGUGCUGCAUGGCUGUCGUCAGCUCGUGUUGUGAAAUGUUGGGUUAAGUCCCGCAACGAGCGCAACCCUUAUCCUUUGUUGCCAGCACGUAAUGGUGGGAACUCAAAGGAGACUGCCGGUGAUAAACCGGAGGAAGGUGGGGAUGACGUCAAGUCAUCAUGGCCCUUACGAGUAGGGCUACACACGUGCUACAAUGGCGCAUACAAAGAGAAGCGACCUCGCGAGAGCAAGCGGACCUCAUAAAGUGCGUCGUAGUCCGGAUUGGAGUCUGCAACUCGACUCCAUGAAGUCGGAAUCGCUAGUAAUCGUAAAUCAGAAUGUUACGGUGAAUACGUUCCCGGGCCUUGUACACACCGCCCGUCACACCAUGGGAGUGGGUUGCAAAAGAAGUAGAUAGCUUAACCUUCGGGAGGGCGUUUACCACUUUGUGAUUCAUGACUGGGGUGAAGUCGUAACAAGGUAAGCGUAGUGCU
rnacentral:rRNA from 1 species